rnacentral:lncRNA from 1 species
AUCAUUGUCAUAAAUUAUCAUUAGCUUUUUUUUAAUCGAUGUUGGUUUCCAAGGUUUGUAGAAUGGUUAUGGGCAAGUGGUUACAUAAUAGAUUGAUUAACCAACCUUGCUGGUAGGAGGAAAGAAAAAUAUCCACAGCAUACAUAACAUUUCCAAUGGGCUACCAUUGACAUGGGCAUUCAACUAAGAGUCUGGGUGGUUUGGCCCGAAAUCCCAU